rnacentral:rRNA from 1 species
UACGAAGGGUGCAAGCGUUAAUCGGAAUUACUGGGCGUAAAGCGUGCGUAGGCGGUUGGCUAAGUCAGAUGUGAAAGCCCUGGGCUCAACCUGGGAAUGGCAUUUGAAACUGGCUGGCUAGAGUGUGAUAGAGGAUGGCGGAAUUCCCGGUGUAGCGGUGAAAUGCGUAGAGAUCGGGAGGAACAUCCGGUGGCGAAGGCGGCCAUCUGGAUCAACACUGACGCUGAGGCACGGAAAGCGUGGGGAGCAAACAGGG